rnacentral:lncRNA from 1 species
GGGCUUGCGAUAGAGGGUACGCACAGGGAAGUGCGGACUUAGGAGGUUUCAAGGACAGGGUAGAACUGCCAUGAAAGGGCGAGUUGAUGUGGAGGGUUCGGGCCGCUGGGUCUAUAAGCACUUGGUGUCUGGUCAUCCAAUCCAUUCCAAGGAUGAUAUCUAUUCCUUCCAGGUCAAGGAUGAUAAGAUUUUCCUUAAAAAGGUUUUGGCCUAGCUGAAUAGGCACAUUGACACUCA